UCACGCCUACUUCAGAAAAAUCACGUGACUGCAACGGGACAAUGGCAAAUGGUUGUCCCGUCGGGACAACUAUUAGCCAUGCUUUGUGAAGUUCCAAACCACAGGUUCACUUAUUCUGGACGUAGCCAAGGCCUUUGAUAAAAUUUGGCACGAAGGGUUUACUGUUUAAUGCAGAUCGAAAGUGGAAUGCAUUUAAGUCUCAAUUAAGAAAAGUUCUCAGAAAUAUUACAACUGAAUGGCAGAAUCUAAUGUCUAUUACUUCAUGGCUAAGAGUAGUACAAUUUGUAGCUGGCAAAUUCUUGUUCAGCUAUGUUCGAGAGAAAUUUCGUGUAUUGAAACUUUUUAGAAACAGCGAUGCUAAAUUGCUGUUAAAAUGUGAUAUUAUAAGAUCCUUGCAACAUCCUAGAGAUGCAGAACUACGUCAUGUGGUAAUAAGGGAGGCUCUAGAGAGAAGACAAAAAGAUGGAAAAGUUCCUCUUCAGUUUAACUUUGUAGCCCCUGCAGGUGAUCUCAAAAUGAUCGGUGGUAUCACAGAUUAGGAUAUUUCAGAUAAAUAUAACAGCCUUCAAAACAGGUGCAAAAAAGCACCAUAAUAAAUACAAAAAUAAUUUACUAUUGAAUCAUAUCAGUAAUUGGUUUGUAAUCGCCUUCAGUGGGAUCGAUUCUUAUGAGGUAUGCCACAUAUCUUAGGCUGUGCUUAACAUCUGAGAUUUCUUUUGAGACAACUGAAAUAUUUCUGUUCCGUUAUCAUUGCAAUUUUAAUGUUAUAUUCCAUCUGUCAUCAUUGUAAUGUUAUAUUCCAACAUUAUAUGGAAAGAAAUUAAUAAAAUUUUAAUGUUUAUUACUUAUUUUUUUUAUCAUUCUUAAUACUUUACCAUAUUUCUGUGUGAAAGUCUUGUAGUGAUCGUAACGCUACCUAUCUACUUUCCCUAAUACAAUCUAUGUUAAUACUUCUCCCGGGGAAUCCCCGUUCUGUGUAUACGUGCGCUAAGCAGCGAUAUUCGAUAGUUGUUAGUGUAAUAAAGAGUUUAUUUUUCUAAUAGCGAUGAAAUGCUUUAUACUACACUCUACAUGAACAUCACCACAGUCUCCUUAAUAGACAGUUUCAUUUCAUUGAAUGAAUCUCUAAAUAUGCUAUUAAACAAUAAGUACUUAGUAUUAAUUUAAGUUGCUGUGUGUUUGUUUGGUUUUACAUUGUACAAGACUUUAUUUUUAUUUAAUUCACACAAUGGUCAUGUCUUUAUCUAUAAUUUCUGUAAUAACAUUGUGUUGGUAGAAAAUAAAUCUCUUCUUCAUGUGGAAAA